GCUGUUCCCUCAGUGGUUUCCUGAGGGAAGAGGGAUCUCCUGAGAGCAGAGGGAUCGCGGGGCUCCCGGGAGAAGCUCCGCGCCACACUCCGACGGGCUUCCAGGACCAUAUAUGGUCCCUCCAUACCGCCAGCCUGCAUCCUGGUGUUUCCAUAGGGAAGAAACAAAAGCGGUGUAUAACCAGAACUGGUGUUAUUUCAGCUUUUUCCUAUACAAGGAAAUGGGAAGACAGUGAAAAAUGUUGGAAUCUGUACAUAGUUUUCAGCUUGUAUGCCACACACACACUGUAGGGUUACAUAAUGGAGUGAGGCAAGAGGAAAAGGAUAGGAAUUUUGCCCUGGUUUCUGAAGAGAGAGACCGGAGGCUUUGCAGAGGCUUCUUAGACAAGCACUGCAAACACUGUCCAACAAGGAAAUGAGUGGUGAAGUGUCACCACAUUAUUUCACCAAUCCCAUUUUUCAGUGCGUGCUAAUCACGUUUCUCGGGAGCUGUAACCUUGAAAUCUUCACCUUGCAGAUUUUCAUAUCGUGUCCAGUUUCCUGACCUGCUGCUGCAGCUUGCACGAAAUAAAAGGCAAAAAUUUGUAACAAUCACCUGAGGAAUUUCCAUUUCCUCCAGAGGUGCUGCUGUUUCAAAAAGAAAGCGAGAGUAAUUCGCACAGUUAACUACUCCUGUCCUGGAGGUUUCUGCCCAUCACUUGAAGCCCUGCUGAGGAUGUGAGGAGAAUCCUCUGAGCCACAAAGAACCCACAUGCAGGAUACCCAUCCUGGACCACACCUGGUGUGUGAGCAACAUCAAGGAUUUGGGUAGGAUUCCUCCUGUAACCCUGGAGUACAAGUGAAGCUGGCCUGAGUUUGGACCUGCGAGAGGCUGAAGCCACUGGCUCUAUAAGUGGAUUUGAAGGGGGAUGUUCAGGAGCUUUGCUCCUGCAAGCACAGGGGCUCUCCAUGCUAGUAAAAUACAGAAUAUGUGAAGAUUCCUCAGUACUUUUCCUGCCUUUUUUCAGGCACUCUAAAAAAUACAAGUUCUUCCACAUUCUAAAAGGAAAGAACUUACAGAACAACUCUGCUUACCAAAACACACACAGAAAAAUAUUUUAAAGCCUAAAAAGAAUACUUUUAACUCUUAAAAAUUACCCUAUUUUUAAUAUUCAGUGAUUUUUUUUCCCCCUGAGCUCAAGCCUUUUGUUAUCCAAACAUUUUGAACUUCCAUCUAAGUAGUACUGCCAUUGCUUAAUCCAAAGGCUUUAAAGUAGAUGAAGUUGUUUGUCUGGCUGCAGGGCUUAAAGCUCUGGAGAUACCACGGGCAGAAUCCAUUGUGUGAUUCUGCCUGAAACUGAUUGCUUCUGAUUCCCUACAAAGUUCAGUUGAGUUACCUCAGACACCUGAAGGUCUGUAGGGAAACACUGGUGCCUGUCAUUUUUCUUGGGGAUGGAGUAUUGACCUUGCUACAAAACCAGAUGGGUUGUGUAGUCCCAGCUACACCAGCUUCUCUAAAAAGCCUUGUUUUCAUCCCAAUCCAGUGGUAACGGCACCUGGUAGGUGCCAGAGCAGAGAUUUCCACGUGGCUCAGUCUUAGUAUAGGAGACAGAGCAGCUUCUCAACUCUACAACAUUCCAUGACAAAGGAUUGGUUCAUCUGUGCAGAUCCUGCUGGGAUGAUAAUUGUCAGUCCAAGGACUGCACAGAUAGGUGGAUUUUGAUGGACCGAACUGACUCUGAACUCGGUAAUCAGCUCCUGACAUUCUCCCUUGGAAUCAUGGACCCCCGGAUAGCGAAUUUAAAGGUACUGACACUAAAAUUCCUUGUCUUUGAGAUCUUCUGCAGACCUCUUCAAAGCAGUGCACAGGACUCCAAGGAUUCAUGGCCCAUGGAUUGAAAAUAGUCCUAGAAAAACACAACGCCUGUGCUUAUUUUACUGAAGAUUACUUGUUAGAUUUCCCGUCAGCACUGUCAGAGGAUGAAAUCUUGGCCCCAGCUGAACUCAACAGGAAUUUUGCCACUGACUUGAAUGGAGCUAAAAUGUCACUCCUGCUAUUUGUCAAGCCAAUUACAUCCAGACAAUACUUUAACAUCUGGCUUCAACUGAACACACAGAGCAGUUCACUCCCUCAGUCUCUGAAGAACACAGGACAUUGGCUAUCAUCAUAAAAUUUGAAACAUUUGUUCUUGGCAAGCUGCUUGUAAUGAAGAGGGGAUCCAUCCAGUGACAGUAUCGGAACCAAGUCCCUGUUCCUUAGCCUAUACUUAUUGGCAAUAGCAUCAAUAGAUUUUCUGUCACUUUCUGGGAAGAAUGUCAAAAGCACCCAUCUACUGUUACAAGUCAUUCUGUUGUAAAAACUUUGUUUAGAACAGCAGAUCUGGCCUCAUCUGUGGUUUCUCACAGACGAGGGGGGUUUUCACCCAGUUUGUCUUCUGUUUCCCAAGGCACUGGAAGGUCCCUUGUUAGGUCAGGGAACAGCAUUUCUAUCUAAACCCUUCUCUGAGUAUGGUGGUCAAAGGUAAGGCUGAAGGACAGCAGACUAUAGGAGAACAAAUGGUAUGAGCUUGUUUCCCUUUCUAAAAACCCACCUGAGACAAGGCAAUAUUGAUUUAUUGCAAAAUAUAAAGGUUAGGUCACCCUCAAGUGGAGAACACCUUUUCCUGGUAGGAAAAAAUAAAACCAGAGAGUUAUUUGAUCAGUGGUGAUUAAAAAAUCUAUUUGAAUGGGCAGACUCAGGAUCAGAGAAUGGUUUUGGUUGGAUGAGACAUUUAAGAUUAUCCAGUUCCAACCCCCUGCCAUGGACAGGGACACUUUCCACUAGACCAGGUUGCUUCAAGCCCUGUCCAACCUGGCGUUGAACACUUCCAGAGAUGGGGCAUUCAUAACUUCUCUGGGCAUUACUGGGCAUCCACAAUUUCUCUGAGGCAUUGGAUGAUGUCUAGAAGAACAGAGACAUACAAAGAGAGGGGCUUUUAUGCAUCAGGUAGACAGGGAUCUGUUCCCACCUCCAGGACUGGUUAGUUGCUGUACUGCUCACCUGUGCAAAAACAGCUUCCCUUGGUCUCCUUCCAUCCCCUGGGAUGCAAAACCAAACUCAGUCACCAGCAUCUGAUGAGCCUUAAUUCCCUUAAAUAAUUAGCUUCUCAAAUGUACACAAACAACUCUCAUUUUCUGGAUUAAUGAAGGGAGCUGGGUUCCACUGAGCACAGCUAUUAUGGGGCUGCUAAUAGAGUGUUUGAUUCCAUUGCCUGCCACAGGGCACGGAGCAGUCUGGGCCCCUGGGAGAGCAGGAACACAGGGAGAGCAGCGCUGCAGGGUUAAAGUGGAAGCCACCAGGGGAAACCCUGGUAGUGCUUUGUGGCUUUAUGCAGAGGGAGGGAUGGUUUUAUUUCUGUGUCUGCUGAGUCUCGUCUGGGUUUAUGAUGUUGCCACACAACCCAGAAGAAGGCUGAAGCUCAGGGAGAUCUUGAGGGUGGGUAGCUUGCUUUAAUCACCAGGUAAAGGCAGUUUCUGAAGCAGGGUAACAAAAAUGUGACACAAACAGAAACCUAAAGCUUAGGUAGUCACACAGCAGCUUCUGCCCAGUUUCUGUAGCCAGAGGAGUAGAGAAUGGCAAGGAGUUGGAAGGCUACAGUGGAACUGGAGUGUUCUUGUCCUCUGUGUUCAUUUGGCUGAGGAGCUGGUAGGAAGCUGGUUGCAAAAAGUCAAUCUUGCCUCAUUUUGGCAGGUAUAGGCAUCUAAACUCUUCAAAUCAAACUUCUGUUCUUUCUUUGGGAUCUUGGCACAGGGCAGGCAAGUUUGUUUUUCCCAACUGGAAGGAGAAGGAACUGAGGAAAUGUCAGAAGAGCCUGCAAAGGCUGCUUAGCUCUGCCCUGGGAGGUUUAAACUGAGGCCACAUUACAUGGACAACUCAACACUGUUAGGACUGUUCCCUUCCUCUCUCUGCAUCACUGCUUCCCUGCCUUGUACAUAGGAUAGGGAGAAGAGAAUAAUUAGGAAAUCAGGGAAUUUGAGAUGUAACUGCAGCCACUCAACAAAGUCAUGCAGCUUCUCAGACAACUGGACAUGAAAAGGCCUGGACUGUUGAUUUCCUCAAAUUCUUCAGCCAUCAAAGAGCCCUUCAGUACAUGUCAUUCUCCCCCAGCAAUUAGUACAUCCAAAUUAGUGGCCCUGCAGCCCUGGAUAUGGAUUUGGUGCUAAAUAUCUUCUCACAUGGAAGUUCUCCUUCAACAAUAUGCCCUCGAGCACAUACCAUCUGUCAGUCACAUCUGCAAACCAAACCAAACCUUUUGACCUCUGUAAGAAAAGCCUGAAAUUGUAUUAGAAGCCUUGGGUUAAUCAAGAACCUUGGUGAAGGCAUAGCAGGAGUUGAGAGGUUAAGAAGGAAUCCAUGGAACUGUGAUGGUUUAUGCAGCAAAGUUUGUGUUUCAUUCAGUGCCAGGCACCAGGGACUUCAGAGACCUGCAGGUGCUCAAAAAUCUCAGCACCUUCCCAAAUCAGGAGCACUUCCCUAGAGGUGGCCAUUCAAAAUUAAGCACUUUUGAAAGUGCAGGGAUGCUGCUUCUCAUGUCAGGGCUUGUUGGGCCACUGACUUCAGAGGAGUAAUUUAGCUGAAGCAAUCAGGAAAUAAUUAUUACAGUGGAGAGUUAAAAGACAGUAAUUAAACUUUAUAAAUAAAUAACUGAAGUGACUAAAAAAGUCCACCCAAAGCCUACUUUUGGAGCACUAUUUAAUGUAAAUGAAUCACUUAGUGGACAAUACAACAAUCAUCUGUUCAGCUUCUAUUCAUUAUCAAAGACAAUACAGAAGGAUUGGCAGGGAAUAGCCAUGUGCCAGAGGGAGCCCUUUAGGAAAUACCACAGAAUCUGGACUGGCUUUUGUCUGUUCUUCUAUUGUGUUCUGACAAUGCUUUGCUAAUGAAUGUCCAACAUCA